UGUACAUAGUCAAUGGUCUAUCUUCUCCACUGGGCUGUGAGCUCCUUGAGAGCAGAGACUGAGUUGGUGUCUUAUUUUGUUGUUUUUAACCAUUGUAUCCAAUUAGCACCGGGGCCUGGCACAUAAAAGCUUCUCACUUCGCAGUGCAAUUAGCCCUGUGGAUUAUUUCCCCGUCAUUUUGAUGUCAGAAGCAGGAUGACAAUACUCAGCUGAGGACCCCACUGACGAAAGAUUAAGGUUAUUGUCCUUGCAGGCCCCUGGAGCCUUGCUGCAAAGCCUACCUAACUUGAGCACUCACUGCAUUUUCCUAUCUACAUGGAUGAAUUGGUUCUGGAAACUGCCUUCAGGUGACAUUCCUACUUUAAGACUUGGAUCAUAAAUUCAUACAAUCGUAGAACUCUAAGAGAUCUUAGAAAUCUUCCUUCCACCCACUAAAGAAGUCCCUGUACUUCAUCCCCAAAAAGAGGCCAUGCAGUGUCUGUCCGAAUAUCUCCAAUGUUAUCUAACGAGACAGCCCAUUCACAGACUGGGCAGCUGUGCCUGGAGCUUGCUGUCACAGAGUAAAAGUUGCCUCCCUGCAGUUUUCCCUGUUGUUCCUAGCUCGGACUUUUGGGGCCAAAUAGGGCCAGUCUAAUCUGUCUUCUCUAUGCUAGCCAUGUGAAUGCCUGAAGGCCCCAAUUACACUCCCCCGGUUGUUGCUCCUCUAACUGCACUGGUUUAGCCUUUGCUGUUUUUUUUUCAACAUGUGGUAGUGUCCCUGUGGACUUGCACGGUCAAAUUUGCCCUCAUUUCUGGAAUCCUCUCAAAUGCCCCAUAGCUUCACCAUGGACCAUGUCAAUGACUUGUGGGGAAGGCAGAGUAAAAGGAGAUGCCUCCCCUUCCACACAUGGACAGCUAAGUCAGCACUGAGCUGACUGUCAUCUACAAAAAGUCAGAAUUUCCUGGGUCUAUAAAGUCUUGUGACCUAAUUUUUCAUUCAAACAAAGUGACGCAUAAAGACCAAGAAAUAUGUUCACGGCCACAGGGACACCAGGGGUCGGGGAAGGAGCCAGCAAUUCGGAGCUUUAAGGCUUGGGUGACAGGUAGGGAGGAGCCCUUCCUAGACUGAGGCCCAACAAAGCAGCCCCAGGGGAAACCCAAUUCUACAGGCCAACUUCUGCCAGUCUCUUUGCUUGGAAACCGAACUCUCCCCCUAAAUCUCACAGACUUUUUCUAUUUGCAGGUGUCUAAGACUCAAGCAAAGAGGCCAAAGGCUCAGAGAGACAGCCUGACAAUUUGCCAGCAGGAGAAACAUUUGCCAGAACCUAGCAGGACGCUAUCCAACCUGAAUGGUCAAGGCAUCAGACACGGCCAAAAUCAAUAUACGUACAGCCUCUAGUUCUAAAGAAAAACAGUAACUCAGAGCAGUGAAGAGACCUUUCUCUGAAGAUCCAAGUUGCUUUAGGGAAUGUCCUUCACUCUGCCUAGGAGGCACAGUGACAAGUGUCCUCUCGAGUUUCCAGGCACAGAGGUAGAGGCUGGGCAGAUAAGGCCUGAGUCAGGGGGCUCAGGAGGUUCCAGGGGCAGGGGUUCGGCAGGAAAUGGGUCGGGCUUA